UCAUUUUCUAUUUUUCAGAAGAUCAAAUGGAGUUUUUAUCAAUAAUAGACCUAAUAGAAACCAUAUAUAUGACAAGCAAUGAUGAUAGCUUUUAACAAAUCAUUUAAGUAGAUGACUAUCAUACAACAUUGCCUUCUUCAUUUCUUCAAGGAUUCUAUUGAUCCUAUUUUACUUAUAGUGUUCUUGGUGCAGAAACAAUUGCAUUCAAUAUUAUUUUCUGUGCACAACUUAAUACAAAAUUGGUUUUCAACACUAUGCCAUGAUACUUCUUUACUUUCAUAGUUUGCAAACCUUUUUCAUUUGAUCCCUUUU
rnacentral:lncRNA from 1 species